GACGAACGCUGGCGGCGUGCUUAACACAUGCAAGUCGAACGGGCCUUGUCCUCUUUUUUUUUGGGGGUGGGGUUAGUGGCGAACGGGUGAGUAACACGUGAGUAACCUGCCCCUCACUUCUGGAUAACCGCUUGAAAGGGUGGCUAAUACGGGGUGUUCUGGCCUGCUCGCAUGGGUGGGUUUGGAAAGAUUCGACCGGUUUUGGUUGUUUUGGUGGGGGAUGGGCUCGCGGCCUAUCAGCUUGUUGGUGGGGUGAUGGCCUGCCAAGGCUUUGACGGGUAGCCGGCCUGAGAGGGUGGGCGGUCACACUGGGACUGAGACACGGCCCAGGCUCCUACGGGAGGCAGCAGUGGGGAAUAUUGCACAAUGGGCGCAAGCCUGAUGCAGCGACGCCGCGUGAGGGAUGGAGGCCUUCGGGUUGUGAACCUCUUUCGCCAGUGAAGAAGGUCCUGCUCUUUGUGGUGGGGUUGACGGUAGCUGGGUAAUAAG
rnacentral:rRNA from 1 species